rnacentral:rRNA from 1 species
GUAAAGCUAGACUCGAUGCUGACUGAGUAGUGAGUGUGCUGACUUUCUACUUAUUUGGCAGGAGGAGGCGGCUGCUACACAUAUUCUCUUUCAUCAUCAACCCCCGGUGCACUGGUGCAGUACAGAAUAAGUUGGUGAAUUUAAUUCCAUCAUCCAUUUGCUGCCUACUUAAUUUACACACACUCUACUUAAUUUAUCCUGAAGGUAAUUGAUGUAACGCACCUAAUACUAAGUUUCACCAACGAAUCUCUGGCCUCUCGCAUCAAUAAGAAACGCACCGAAUUGCAAUAAGUAAGGUGAAUUGCAAAAUUCAUGGAAUCAUCGAACCUUUGACCGCACCUUGCGCUCCUUGUAAUUCCUUGAACCAUGCCGGUUUGAGUAUCAGGAAAUCUUCAAAGUAAACCUUUGGUUAAUUCAAUUGGCCUUUUUUACUUUGGUUUUGAAGAAUCUUAUUGCACCUUCACACCGGCUCCUCUUUGUGCAUUACCUGAAUCUCAUGGUUAUGCUGGGUUCCACUCGGCGUGAUAAGUAAUCUAUCGCUAAGAACACCCGUAAAAAAGGUGGCCAAGGUAAAUGCAAAUGACCCGCUUCUAAUAUUCCAUUGACUUGAACAAUAUUCUAUUUUAUGAUCUGAUCUCAAAUCAGGAAGAACUACCCGCUGACCUUAACCAUAUCAUAGGCCCGAGGAAAG